AUAUAGAGGUAUAUAUGCAAAAUUUUAAUCUGCCCAUGCGUUGAGAAGUCUUCGUAUCAUAGGUAUUGCUAUUUCAAUUUAGCAUCAUUCACAUUCGGCUUACGCCAAUCUUACGAUAUAGAGGGCCUUCUCGAAUUCAUCUAUAUAGUUAGCCAACAAAAAAAAGACACCGUAGAAAAAUAAUAUGUCGAGCAGGAAUGAAAGUGAAAUUAGUGAACGGAGGUAGGCGGUUCUCCGCCCGUUUACUUCUCACCUGGGCGUUGUCUCUUUGAGAGCAAAUAUCACUUUCCAUUUCAAUACGUUAUCAUGGGUGACAAUUCCAUGAGGUUAGAGAAUUAUGAAGUGCUUAAAGCUCUCUACGAUUUCAAGGCUACAUUCGCGAAAACCCUCAGUUUUCAAGAGGGCGAUUAUUUUAUUUUAUAUCAGAGCAAUACUAAACAAAGAAAUUGGUGGCAGGUCGUCAAUAAGGACGGUCAAAUUGGAUAUAUCCCCUCGAAUUACGUCACCACUGUAAAGGUACCAUCUCAAGUAUUGAUCGAAUUUCUAGAAGAUUGUAUAGAAAAUGUGAAAACUGAAACUAAAAAACAGACUGGAUUGCAUUUAGACAAGCAAGAUCUUCUUUUAAGAUUAAUAGAAAAAAAGAGACAAGCAGAAACUAACAAAAAACCUAAAAAACAAGCUCCAAUGCCUCCUGAUUUUGGAAACACAACACCUAAAGAAAUAUGUUCAUCUCUUGUUUGUAAUACUCAAGAUGGAGAUAUUAGUACUGUUCAGAGUAAUACUUCAUACAUGACAGCACAGACAACUAUGCAUACUAAUAUAGGGAAAGAAGAAACACCAGUUGUUCCACAAUGUCAACGUACAUCUAUAAAUGACCAAAGGGUACAAUCUCUUUCGCGUCAAUCUUCUUCUGAGACACAAAAAAUUCAAACAGAAAUUCGUAAAAGUCCUUCUCAAAGUAAUUCUCAACAUACCCCUAUUAGUUCGCCUAUAAAGAAAAAAACUUCAUUAUGUGAUAUUAACUCUCAUACUGCUUAUCAAUUACUUGACCAAGUACGUAGGAAUACUCAAUUAAGUUAUGAAAUGUCAAAAGUAGCAGUAACAGUAGUUGUUUCUGGCCUGCAACAAUUAUUGCCUCAAAAUGUGAGCCAUUAUUUUGAUGCAUUAUUGCAUCAAUUAGAAACACCAUUUACUGUAUCACAAAUGAGCAUAGAGGAAACAUAUGAUGCUAAUAGAUUGAAAGUGAUUUUUACAGAGCUUACUUCUUGUAAAGAAGAUUCUCAACAGAGAAAUUGGAUGCUUUAUGAAGAUGAAUCUAUUAUUGUUGAUUAUAUAAAAGAACUUACUUCUAUAUUGACCAAUGCAGAUGCAAAUGUAUCUAGAUAUGUUUUACAACAGAAUCAAUAUAAUGGAGUUAAUAUACUGAUACAAUAUUAUCAAAUGGAGCCAAGAUGGACUAUUAGGCAAUUACUCUUACAAUCAUUUGGAGUAAUGUGUAGUUUAGAUUCUGUUAUCUUAACUAUAAUGUUAAAUAGUAUAUUACCUAUGGAAUUAGCAAGAGAUAUGAGGAGUAAUUCCAGAAAUGUAACAAAAUUAAAUUAUUCUUCAUUAUUACUUACUAUGAUUUUUUCAAUGGGUGAACCUAUGCCAGUUACACAUUUGGAGCAAUUGGGUCCUGAUUUUAUAACAUUUAUUUUGGAUUUAAUAGAAAAUCCUCCUGAUAUGGACUUGGAAGAUCAAAUUCCAGAUUUGUUUGUAAAUUUAAUAUUAUCGUACAACUUACAAUUCACUAACUCAGAAAAUAUAGUUUUGAAUGCAUUAAAGGAAAGAACAGUGGCAAAAAAUUUUACUGAAAAGAUCUUACUUUUAUUUAAUAGAGAAGCGAACCUGUGAUCUGUUACAGAGGAUCCUGUGCGAAUAUUCGAUCAUGAACCGUCGCCACCUCAUUCUGUACUGAAACUAUUUAUCGACCUAUUUAGCAACGAUGUCACAGCAGGCCUCUUCUAUACAAAUGAUGUGUUUGUUUUAAUCGAUAUUAUAUUGCGUCAACUAUAUGAUAUGUUUCCCGGAGAUAAGCGUAGACAAUAUUUGGAAUUAUGUCGAAGAGUAUUACGCACUUCGAGCUAUAAUGAACAUAAAUAUCGUUCAGAAGAUCUCUUGAAA
rnacentral:misc_RNA from 1 species